GCCUGGAUAGCUCAGUUGGUUGGUGUGGUGCUGAUAACACCAAGGUUGCAGGUUCAAUCCCCGCAUGAGACA